rnacentral:rRNA from 1 species
AAAACGGUCUCAGUUCGGAUUGAAGGCUGAAAUUCGCCUUCAUUGAAGCUGGAAUUGCUAGUAAUGGCAGGUCAGCAUACUGCCGUGAAUACGUUCCCGGGCCUUGUACACACCGCCCGUCACACCAUGAGAGUUGGAAAUACCCGAAGCCUGUGAGCUAACUUUAGAGGGCAGCAGUCGAAGGUAGAGCCAAUGAUUGGGGUGAAGUCGUAACAAGGUACC